GCUCAUUACAACAGCUAUAAUGUAUAUGAAUUUACUGAUAAAUGGAUAUCUGUGGUAAAUCUAGAGCUAAUACAUGCAUAAAAACCUUUUUGUUUUAACAAAUUGGUUAAAUUAUCGUUUCAAAACUAACGGGUUCGCCCUGUUUUGUUAACUCAUGAUAAUUAAUGACCGUUCUUUAAUGAAUGGAUAUUCAUAUUUGGUAUCUGCCCUAUCAACUAUAUGACAGUCUAUUGUACGGUCAUGGUUGUGCCGGGUAACGGAGAAUUAGGGUUCGUCUCCGGAGAGAAUGCCUUAGAAACGGCUUUCACUUCCAAGGAAGGCAGCAGGCGCGAAAAUUACCCAUUCUCAGAACGAGGAGGUAGUGACGUGAAAUGACAAGCUUUAAUUCUUACGAAUUGAAGCAUUGGAAUGGUUGAAUUUUAAAAUCAUUCAAGAUUAUCAAUGAGAGGGCAAGUCUGGUGCCAGCAGCCGCGGUAAUUCCAGCUCUCAUACUACAUUGAACUGCUGUUGCGGUUAAAAAGUUCGUAGUUGCAAAUGUACAUAUAAAUGUGGUUUAUCAUUUUAUUAUGGUAUAACUGCAUUUUGUGUUAUUUAUAUUUUCUUUACGGAAAAUAUAAUGAUACCCUGAGUAAAGCAAAGUGCUCAGAACAAGCUAUUGCUUGUAUGUUUUUGCUGGGAAUAUCAAACGAAUACAUUAGUUGACGUUUGUUGGUUUAACAGCUAUGUAAUGAUUAAUAGGGAUAAACGGGGGCAAACGUAUCGCAGGGGGAGAGGUGAAAUUCGUUGAUCCUUGCGAGACGGCCUAUAGCGAAAGCAUUUGCCAAGAAUGUUUUCUUUAAUCAAGAACGAAAGUCAGAGGUUCG
rnacentral:rRNA from 1 species